UACGUAGGGGGCAAGCGUUAUCCGGAUUUACUGGGUGUAAAGGGAGCGUAGACGGCGAUGCAAGCCAGAUGUGAAAGCCCGGGGCUCAACCCCGGGACUGCAUUUGGGACUGUGUGGCUGGAGUGUCGGAGAGGCAGGCGGAAUUCCUAGUGUAGCGGUGAAAUGCGUAGAUAUUAGGAGGAACACCAGUGGCGAAGGCGGCCUGCUGGACGAUGACUGACGUUGAGGCUCGAAAGCGUGGGGAGCAAACAGG
rnacentral:rRNA from 1 species